GGGCCAUAGCUCAGUGGCAGAGAGUUUGCCUUGUAAGCAGAAGGUCACAGGUUCAUUCCCGGGCAACUCCA